GCUUCACAUUUGGCAAUCAAGUGCUGGGUAUGUCUUUGCCAGAGUGUCAUCCUCAUGAUGAUGAACAUUAGGUCACCUUCAUUACCUGUUGUUUGUAAUCACAUCUCUUCCAGUCACCUAAUCUCAGCUCUUGUAGCACUCUUGUCUCCUUGGAAAUACACCCGUCAGCUCCCUGUGGAAACCUCCAGCCAGGCUUGCCCAGCUCAUCGCCUGUUCUCACCCCCUCCGUGACUCAGUUCACAUAUAAUACAAAGACAUCCAAAGACUGUCCUUCAAGUAGCCUGGAGAUUUAUUCCUGAAGACUACUUUAAGAAAUGACAAGCAAGCUGGCUGAGAGAGUUCAUGCUGCGUCGAAUAAAGGGGAGUACGAAGAAAUGGGAGAUUCAAGACUUUUGCACAGUACUGUAAGGCACUCACGCCCCAAAAUCAUUUUGUUUUCCAACUUUACCUCCAAUUGUUAAAGAGAAAAUUGCCGUGGAGCCUGAAAUCAGCUCAACUACUGAGUUUUAAUUAUAUGAAAAUGCAAGCUGGCUCUGGGACGAGAAGAAAACAGAAAUUUUAUUCUCAAAAUACAAAAAGACAUGACAUUACAUAUGUGUCUGGAUAUACUGUACUGUAUAUUUAGUGAUAUGUGAAGGCAAUCCCCAACACUGUCCACUGUUCACAAACCAGGAAAGUAAGCCAGGGUCAUUUAGGGGUGAUUAACAAAUCGAAGCUGCGUUAUACUCUGCACGGGGUGUAAGCAUGAGUCAUUCCUGAGGUCAGCGUGUGAGCUUAUGUGCGCUUUUUUUAUUAUAUUGUGUGAGAAAAUGGAGCCGGCAUCAAAGGUAAGCCAGCCCCCGCACAGCCCACUGCAUGGUGGUUUGCCAAAACGUCUCAGUAAGCAGCGAUGACCUCUACCCGUGCAUCAGACGGAGGCUGAAAUUUUCUAACAAAGGUUCAGUAAACAUGUCGGGAGAGUCAGAUAUGACAUCCUUUACGUCUAGUUUAGCAUUUGCAAUAAUUGGCCUCUUGAUAGUAAACACUGGUUUAAAUGUGAAAUGUGUGACCAAAUGCUCAUGCUAUGCUAGACUGCAUGCCACAACAAAUAAAUCAUGUUCUGCUGGGACAAUAAUAGGAGAGGAGGUCGGGGGGUUGCUAGCUAAAAGGCAAAUGGGGAACAAACCACUGCAUGUGAUGAACUGCAAAAACAAAUGGAGGAAAAGCGUGAAAAUGAAGAGGAAAGUGAGAAUAAUUGCAAGCUGAGACUGAAAGUGCUGUGUCUGUUCAUUAAGGCAGAUAGAUUCUGGUCCUCUUGCAUCUGCCGGCUUUAUGCUGUCAUCGCUUAAUGGGGAAUACCUCGUCUUCUUCUCCUUUUUGUGUUUCUCUACUCGGGCAUGUCGGCUGUUGGGUUUUUGUGCUUGGAUCAGCAGAAAUGAAACCAUGCAAGAAGGAAAAGAAAGGCAGACCAACAAAAAGGCCUUAUAUAUAUUAACUGAACAGAGUAUGGAAGCCCAUUAUGGCCAUUAAUAAAAAUGCAGAGAAAAAAGUUUUUCAUCAUUGAAAAAAAAAAACUAAUUGCAAUUUAAUUAUGUCGUAAAUUUGACGUUCAAACUUAACUGACAUUUUAUUUAUAUAACUGACUUUUCCUCAUGCUUUAAUGUUUACUCUUGACGUAAAAAAUUUGACAUAUCACAUAUAUUUCAUGUUAUUUUGAUACAGCACUUUUUUUACACAACUUUGGUCACACCUUGUCUACCACACAAGUUCAACUAUUUCAUAACUUUAUCAGAUAAAUUCCCUUCGAAUUUCACCCUUUUUAAAUCUUCUAAUUUUGAGUUCAAAGUGGUAAUUAUGAUUUUAUAGUUAGAGUUAGAAAGUAUAAAUACAAGAUUCAAUCUUGUAUUCAAUAAUUUUGUCCUAUUUCAUGUCCUCAUAAUUGUCCAACAUCAUAUUUUGUCUUGUAAUUUUAACUUAUUGCAUAAAUAUCAAAUCCAAUUUUCAUUUUUAUCUCAUGAUUAUCUCUUUUCAUCGUUAUUUAAACUUUGUCUCUUGUGUUUUCAACCUCAUGCUAUUAACUUUGAUUUUCUUCUCGUUCUCAUUUACAGUUGUUUUUCAGCAUAUCUCAUAAAUUCAACAUCACAGUUGUUGUUUUGACUUUUUUAAAAUUUUAUACAAUUGGUUUUUUGUUUUGUUUUUUAAUUGAUCAUUCUGACAUUUUACUCAACUAACUUGCAAUCUGCAUUUAUUUUCACCACAUGUCUUGUGGUCCCUUGGUACAUAUACACCAAUUUAUUAUGAAGAUGUUAUUUGUUUCCAUAAACGCUAUUGACAUGGCGCCAUUUAGGAAA